AGAGUAACUGGGGCAAACCACCUGCGCGCGCAGCUCCCGGUCUUUCCGGCCUCCGCCCAGACAUUCCAGGUAACCCGAGGAGGGCUGGGCAGCCACGUGACCAUGUUGGCGAGGGAGCGCCUUACUCCAGCAGGGACAGGAUUGCUGAGGAUUGUGCAAGGUUGAGGUCAAAUGGGGAAGAUGAUGCAUGACAAACCCAUGUCUGCAGAGCAUGGCUAGGCUGCAGAGGGGCUAGUGAGGCCCAUUCCCGCUCAGCUCCAGUAACUGGCCGGUGGCUCUCAGUGAGGACCCUGCUCCUUGGGAGUACCCAUGAAGGGAAGAAGAAACCUGGAGAUGACGACUCACUCCAGAUACUGUUGCAUCAAGAAGACGUUCUUUCAUCGGAAUUUGAGAGCCAUUAGUGAUGUUUUGAGGGCAGAGUUUUGAUUCACUUACAGCUAUGAAUAAUAAAGACUGAUAAUACAGAAACGAUCUCUUCACAGGAAGAGACUCCCAGGAAGAGCUACUUGGAGCAAGUGUUCAAGCUCCUAGCAUGGUUGGAGACCCAGGCUGCUCCAAGAUUUUGGGUUUGUGUUCCAAUGCAUCACGUUCAUGCUCACAGUUACCUCAGGGUUCACAGUGGCUGCCAGGCUCCUUCCACUGCCCCUGCAUUCCAGGCUCAUCAAGGGUGAAAGAAGGAGCAGCAAGCGGGUUGUUCAGCUCAGCUGGGCGGCGUUCCCAGCAGUCUCUGCUCAAGAUCUGCAAGCCACAGACAACAGAAUGGAAAGCAGGGAACUGAAAUCUAAGGGUUGCUUUCCACAUCAUGAGAGCCCCACAGCACCGCUGGCAUGAAGCACCCCGACACCAAGCUCAGAAACACGGAGCCACAGCUCUAGUUCAUGUGCUCUGAGAGAGGGCGAUUUAUCGGGCAGUUUGUACCGUUCUCAGGGCAGAGCUCUGGACUCCUCUGCCGCCUCCACCCAGCAGGGAUUUGGUCAUCUCCUUAAGUGUGACCUCAUAGUUUCAUUUAAAAGGAGUUUUCCUAAUACGUUGAAAAAAAAAAAAUACAGUUGAAUCAUGGCAUGACCCUGUUGUGUAAAGCGAGAUAUCUGGUCCCGUUUCCCUGUGGCUGCGGGUUCUGGGUUGGAGGGCCAAGCGGUACAAAGCCGCUUCUUUCAUGAAGACCGCUGCCUUUUUCUUUAUUUCCAAAGUGGCCCUUAGAUAGCUUAGCCUAAAAGCUACACAUCUGGACUGUUAUUUAAAACUUCCAACUCUGUUUUGUCUCUCCCCCAUUACCCCAACUGCCUUGGCUUUUUUAUGUGGGUUCCUGGGAUCCGACUCAAGUUGUCAGGGCUGAGUGUUGAACACUUUUACCUGCUGCUGAGCCAUCUGGCCGGCCCCCCUUUGUUUUUUUUUUUUUUUUUUUUUGAAAUGUUUAAUACCUGGAUUACUAACUGUGAGUAGAAACAGCAAGUUCUUACAGUGUCUGUGUUAACAUUCCAAACAUACCCCCUUUCUUCCAAGAUCAUCAUAUCCAUUAUUAUUUAAAAAAAAUAACCCAACUUUUAAAACUCGAAUGACUUUUCCAAGCCAGCGCUCUAAUCUCAGAUAUAAAUCUUCCUCCGUCAAGAAAAGGACAUACUCCAGGCAGUGUGUCGGAAGAAUCUAAACUCAAGUGAGACAAAAAACUGGAAAGGUUAGGCAUGGGAUUAUUUCCCCAGCUUUUGCUUAGGAAACAGGUUAAAUGAAAACCUGCUUUCUGGGCCCCGUCUCGUGUGCAGAUGUGUAAAGUGAGGGUGGUUCCAGCAGAGGAUGCCAUCCUUCCUCAACAGUUCUGCAGGCAUGCUGCGGGCAGGCGUGUCUGUACGCUGGCCUCCUUCUAGCCUGGCGUCAGGGUCUGUCUGAUUGUUAGGUCCCUACUGGCACACCCUGCCCUAUACCUAUACCUUUAUACUUUUACAGAACAGAUUCAGUCAUACAUCAGGAUGAGUUUAAAAUACAUUGGUGAGCGUGUCAGAGAGGUGGUUACAGCAAGAUGGAAGAAGCUUGGCUAUAGGCCUAAAACGCUAUUUGAUGAUAUUCUUAGCUUUUGGAUUGGUGGAAUCCAGGGGUCUGUUAUACAUCCCAAGACAAUUUUGUCUAUUAGUUACAGGAUGUUAGUUUCCGAAACAGAGGUGGGCGAAGAAUUCAGGGGCUAAAGCUAGCACAGGAUAAGGUAAUUAGCCUUUGGACCUGCGACAUUCCUGUCUCUGGCCCCUCACUCAGUCUCCACAGACACAGCUUCUUUCCAGGAAUUCGUGUUCACAGGUGGCUUGGAGUGAUUCUGUGAUGUAUUGUAAAUACACAACUUGCCUUGUGUGUGUUUACGAGUUCUCUAAAUACUGAGCAUUGUCAAGAACUUGUGACAGUCGCACAGGACUAACACGGAGAAGAUGUGGGAUGGU